AAUGAACGCUGGCGGCGCGCCUAAUACAUGCAAGUCGAGCGAGAAGACGUAGCAAUACGUUUGUAAAGCGGCGAACGGGUGAGGAAUACAUGGGUAACCUACCCUCGAGUGGGGAAUAACUAGCCGAAAGGUUAGCUAAUACCGCGUACGCUCCUUGGACUUCGGUUCAGGGAGGAAAGCGAUACCGCGGGUAUCGCGCUCUUGGAUGGGCUCAUGUCCUAUCAGCUUGUUGGUGAGGUAACGGCUCACCAAGGCUUCGACGGGUAGCUGGUCUGAGAGGACGAUCAGCCACACUGGCACUGCGACACGGGCCAGACUCCUACGGGAGGCAGCAGUAAGGAAUAUUGCGCAAUGGGCGAAAGCCUGACGCAGCGACGCCGC
rnacentral:rRNA from 1 species